GGCAUAGGGUGAGUACGCGUGGGAACCUACCUUUCGGUUCGGAAUAACUCGGGGAAACUCGAGCUAAUACCGGAUACGCCCUUCGGGGGAAAGAUUUAUCGCCGAUAGAUGGGCCCGCGUUGGAUUAGCUAGUUGGUGCGGUAAUGGCGCACCAAGGCGACGAUCCAUAGCUGGUCUAAGAGGAUGAUCAGCCACACUGGGACUGAGACACGGCCCAGACUCCUACGGGAGGCAGCAGUGGGGAAUAUUGGACAAUGGGGGAAACCCUGAUCCAGCCAUGCCGCGUGAGUGAUGAAGGCCUUAGGGUUGUAAAGCUCUUUCGCCUGGGAAGAUAAUGACGGUACCAGGAGAAGAAGCCCCGGCUAACUUCGUGCCAGCAGCCGCGGUAAUACGAAGGGGGCUAGCGUUGUUCGGAAUUACUGGGCGUAAAGCGCACGUAGGCGGAUCAUUAAGUCAGGGGUGAAAUCCCGGGGCUCAACCUCGGAAUUGCCUCUGAUACUGGUGGUCUUGAGUCCGAGAGAGGUGAGUGGAACUCCGAGUGUAGAGGUGAAAUUCGUAGAUAUUCGGAAGAACACCAGU
rnacentral:rRNA from 1 species